rnacentral:misc_RNA from 1 species
AAGUCGUAACAAGGUUUCCGUAGGUGAACCUGCGGAAGGAUCAUUAAAGAGUUGUCCUGCACCCCUCUGGGGAUGAGGUCUACGGGUGAGGCCGUACGUUAACCCCGUCCCGUCUCUUCCACCUGUGUAUACCUUCCACGUUGCUUUGGCGGGCCUGGGUACGUCCUUCUGGGCACCCUGCCGCGUCGGACUUCGUCCCCGCCGGCGAGCGCCCGCCAGAGACCCUUACCAUUCUGAUUUUUUUUCAAUGUCGUCUGAGCAAAAACACAAAUAAAAUAAA